AUGACAGAGAAAGUGAGAGAAGCUGACCGGGACCAUUUGCAGCUCCUUCCAGAUGGGACAGCCUCUGCCAUCACUGCCGUCCCCCUCUAUUCUGUUGCUGUGGUAAACAGCCAACUGGAUAAAAUUGAGGGGAGGAAAGGGUAUAUUUCCUGUGACGUUCGAAGUGUUGAUGAGAAGACCCUCUACUCGGAGGCAACAGAGGAUCUGCAAUGGAAGUGGUAAUGAACCAUGAAAUGACCAAGUGGUGGAGGACCUUGUUACCCAGGAGAGCUAAUACUUUAUUGUGAGAGUCAAAAGUUGAUUCUUAAUUUGGCUGAAAGAUGAGAGUGUGUGAAUAGCCUGAAGGUACAAAUAUGAAUCAAAGUGCUUUUCUUUGUAUAUACAUUUCUGCUUAGAGAAA
rnacentral:lncRNA from 1 species